rnacentral:misc_RNA from 1 species
GAACUUUCUGACAAAUUGAGGACAUGUGAUGUGCAAUUUCAAGUAUAAAUUAAGCUAAUACAAGGUACUAGACUGUUUAAAAAAUGACCAGUCCAGGAGAAAAUAAUUUGUGCCAACUAAGACGUGCUUUUUUAUGGCUAGACGGAUGUGACGAAAAGAAGUUGCACUUGGAAGUGUUGCUGACUUAACAUUUUGGUUUCGCCAUAAACAAGAUAAUUCUAUAUCCUCAUUUAUUCGCUCCGAUUAACUCCCUAUAUUCUCUCUUCAUUUUUACACCUGAUAUGGUCCUGAGCAUUUCCUUGUUCUUGAAAAAUUGCACACAUGGAGUACCCAUAAUUUCAGCUGCCUCAGCAAUCUCUGGGUCUUCAGUAAUGUCAAUUUCAACAAAGUGGACAUGCUGG